rnacentral:misc_RNA from 1 species
AUCGGUCGAACGACAUAGCCUGGCGCUGCAUGGCGCAAGGCUCUCUACCUGAAUCCUGCGGAGACAAGGACAUUCUAUGAGCAUCGGCACCGUCAAGUGGUUCAACGAGCAGAAGGGCUUCGGCUUCAUCCAGCCUGAGGACGGCUCGAAGGACGUUUUCGUUCACAUCUCCGCCGUCGAGCGCGCCGGCCUGCGUGGCCUCACCGAAGGCCAGAAGGUUUCCUACGAGAUGGAAACCGACCGUCGCUCCGGCAAGCAGUCGGCGGGUCAGCUCCAAGUCGCGUAAUUCGCGCCUGAACCCGAUAUGUCGAAGCCGCUCCGGACUGGAGCGGCUUUGCGC